UACAGAGGUCUCGAGCGUUAGGCGGAAUCACUGGGCUUAAAGCGUGUGUAGGUGGAUCGUUAAGUACCUUGUGAAAUCCCACGGCUUAACCGUGGAACUGCUUGGUAUACUGGCGGUCUUGAGCCACUUAGGGGCUACCGGAACAAAUGGUGGAGCGGUGAAAUGCGUAGAUAUCAUUUGGAACGCCAAUGGUGAAAACAGGUAGCUGGGAGUGUGCUGACACUGAGGCGCGAAAGCGUGGGGAGCGAACAGG
rnacentral:rRNA from 1 species